rnacentral:rRNA from 1 species
GCACCACAAGAACGCGUGGAGCAUGUGGCUUAAUUUGACUCAACGCGGGAAAUCUUACCGGGUCCGGACACACUGAGGAUUGACAGGCAAUAUCUCAUGUUAACGGUAAGUUUCUAACUUACCGCUUAGCAUCGAGUGUUAAAUAUGCUAGUCCUUUCAUGAUUAUGUGAUAGGUGGUGCAUGGCCGUUCUUAGUUCGUGGAGUGAUCUGUCUGCUUAAUUGCGUUUCACUAAGGGCCCAUAAAUUCAAGGUAUGUUAGCUCUCGUCGCUCUAUGGACCCCUUAACUCCAAUAUUCUUAUUGUGUUAAGCGCGUGUCUUUAUUUUAAGAGUUUUAAGACACUGCGCAUGCUGUUGGGCUCUGAAAGCAACGAACGUGACCGCAACGUCUUGUUGCCUUAAACUAGCGUAUAUUGCAAUUUAUUGCAAUAUCGCUUACAGAGGCUAUUUAAAACUAGACGGACCGCUGUUUUUUUCUUAAACCAGAGGAAGGUUGCGGCAAUAACAGGUCUGUGAUGC